GUAGGUGGCAAGCGUUGUCCGGAAUUAUUGGGCGUAAAGCGCGCGCAGGCGGUUCUUUAAGUCUGAUGUGAAAGCCCACGGCUCAACCGUGGAGGGUCAUUGGAAACUGGAGAACUUGAGUACAGAAGAGGAAAGCGGAAUUCCACGUGUAGCGGUGAAAUGCGUAGAGAUGUGGAGGAACACCAGUGGCGAAGGCGGCUUUCUGGUCUGUAACUGACGCUGAGGCACGAAAGCGUGGGGAGCAAACAGGAUUAGAUACCCUGGUAGUCCACGCCGUAAACGAUGAGUGCUAAGUGUUAGGGGGUUUCCGCCCCCCUUAGUGCUGCAGCUAACGCACUAAGCACUCCGCCUGGGAGUACGGCCGCAAGGCUG
rnacentral:rRNA from 1 species